rnacentral:rRNA from 1 species
GAUCCUGGCUCAGGAUGAACGCUAGCGACAGGCUUAACACAUGCAAGUCGAGGGGCAUCAUGAGGUAGCAAUACCUUGAUGGCGACCGGCGCACGGGUGAGUAACGCGUAUGCAACCUGCCUGAUACCGGGGGUAUAGCCCAUGGAAACGUGGAUUAACACCCCAUAGUACUUUUAUCCUGCAUGGGAUGUGAGUUAAAUGUUUAAGGUAUCGGAUGGGCAUGCGUCCUAUUAGUUAG